GAUGAACGCUGGCGGCGUGCUUAACACAUGCAAGUCGAACGAAGACAUCUGAGUGCUUGCACUUGGAUGGACUGAGUGGCGGACGGGUGAGUAACGCGUGGGUAACCUGCCUUAUACAGGGGGAUAACAGUUGGAAACGACUGCUAAUACCGCAUAAGCGCACGGUAUCGCAUGAUACAGUGUGAAAAACUCCGGUGGUAUAAGAUGGACCCGCGUCUGAUUAGCUUGUUGGUGAGGUAACGGCCCACCAAGGCGACGAUCAGUAGCCGGCCUGAGAGGGUGAACGGCCACAUUGGGACUGAGACACGGCCCAAAACUCCUACGGGAGGCAGCAGUGGGGAAUAUUGCACAAUGGGGGAAACCCUGAUGCAGCGACGCCGCGUGAGUGAUGAAGUAUUUCGGUAUGUAAAACUCUAUCAGCAGGGAAGAUAAUGACGGUACCUGACUAAGAAGCACCGGCUAAAUACGUGCCAGCAGCCG
rnacentral:rRNA from 1 species